rnacentral:rRNA from 1 species
CAGUCGCCGCGGGAAUACGGAGGGUGCAAGCGUUAUCCGGAUUUAUUGGGUUUAAAGGGUCCGUAGGCGGACUUAUAAGUCAGUGGUGAAAGCCUGUCGCUUAACGAUAGAACUGCCAUUGAUACUGUAAGUCUUGAGUAUAUUUGAGGUAGCUGGAAUAAGUAGUGUAGCGGUGAAAUGCAUAGAUAUUACUUAGAACACCAAUUGCGAAGGCAGGUUACCAAGAUAUAACUGACGCUGAGGGACGAAAGCGUGGGUAGCGAACAGGAUUAGAGACCCCGGUAGUCCCUGUCUCUUAUAA